rnacentral:rRNA from 1 species
UGGGGAAUAUUGCGCAAUGGGCGAAAGCCUGACGCAGCGACGCCGCGUGAGGGAUGAAGGUUUUCGGAUCGUAAACCUCUGUCAGAAGGGAAGAAACCGCACUGUGCUAAUCAGCAGUGCCUUGACGGUACCUUCAAAGGAAGCACUGGCUAACUCCGUGCCAGCAGCCGCGGUAAUACGGAGGGUGCAAGCGUUCAUCGGAAUUACUGGGCGUAAAGCGCACGUAGGCUGCUUUGUAAGUCAGGGGUGAAAUCCCACGGCUCAACCGUGGAACUGCCUUUGAUACUGCUUAGCUUGAAUCCGGGAGAGGGUGGCGGAAUUCCAGGUGUAGGAGUGAAAUCCGUAGAUAUCUGGAGGAACAUCAGUGGCGAAGGCGGCCACCUGGACCGGUAUUGACGCUGAGGUGCGAAAGCGUGGGGAGCAAACAGG